AGUGAACGCUGGCGGUAGGCCUAACACAUGCAAGUCGAACGGCAGCACAGUAAGAGCUUGCUCUUACGGGUGGCGAGUGGCGGACGGGUGAGGAAUACAUCGGAAUCUACUUUUUCGUGGGGGAUAACGUAGGGAAACUUACGCUAAUACCGCAUACGACCUACGGGUGAAAGCAGGGGAUCUUCGGACCUUGCGCGAUUGAAUGAGCCGAUGUCGGAUUAGCUAGUUGGCGGGGUAAAGGCCCACCAAGGCGACGAUCCGUAGCUGGUCUGAGAGGAUGGUACGCCACACUGGAACUGAGACACGGGCCAGACCCCGACGGGGGGCAGAGGGGGGGAAUUUUGGCAAAGGGGGGAAAGCCUGAUCCAGCCAUACCGGGGGGGUGAAGAAGGCCUUCGGGUUGUAAAGCCCUUUUUUUGGGAAAAAAAAGCAGCAGGUUAAUACCCCGCUGUUCUGACGGGACCAAAAGAAAAAGCACCGGCUAACUUCGG
rnacentral:rRNA from 1 species